rnacentral:other from 1 species
GGAUCCCUGCCGUGUUCGCGUAUAUGUUACUGUUAUAUAAUCCAACACUUAUAUUUCGGGAGUCCGGCUCUGUGCAUCGAUUGCAGACCUCCCGGCUUCGGCCGGACGAAGGGAGCAUGACGACCACAGGAGGACACCCACCUGUCGGAAGACGGGUUUUAUGUGGUAACAUACGGCUUGGCGGGGUUUCC